CACGUAGGGGGCGAGCGUUGUCCGGAUUUAUUGGGCGUAAAGAGCUCGUAGGCGGCUCGGUAAGUCGGGUGUGAAAUUUCGAGGCUCAACCUCGAAACGCCACCCGAUACUGCUGUGGCUAGAGUCCGGUAGGGGAGCGUGGAAUUCCUGGUGUAGCGGUGAAAUGCGCAGAUAUCAGGAGGAACACCAAUAGCGAAGGCAGCUCGCUGGGACGGUACUGACGCUAAGGCGCGAAAGCGUGGGGAGCGAACAGG
rnacentral:rRNA from 1 species